AUGCCAAGGGUUAUCCUAUGAAAAGAUACAAUAAAAUAUUUGCAAAAAUGGGAGGGGUGUAGGCCUAUUCACUUUUGGGAGAUAUUGUAAUUAUACAUGUUAUAAUUAUCAAUGUUUCACUUGUUUGUUGGUUUAUUAUGUCUUGUCAGAUCUUAACAUUCAGUCUAAUUGGAGGGCACACUGCAGAAGAGGCCGUAAGAAGGAUGUUGCAGAGUGGCCUAACAAAUAACCUGGCGUGUCGCUUCAACUGGGCAGGGAAAGGCUUCAAGGAAGCCUUCAAAAGCACUGUCCUUAGUGAUGUACUGUUCGCUGCACUCCAAAAACAGCUGCCAGGGACCACCCAUAUUGUUUUUUCAGGGACACUGAAGAAGUGGCUUAAAUAUGCACCGGAGAGAGAGGGAGGUGGAGGGAGGCGAACAAAUGAACGCGAUCAGGCGCCGCAGGAUCCUCGACCAUGAAUGAAUGUGUGUGUGUAAAUAAUAAUUAUAUUUGUUAGAAUAAGUAGGGUUAAUUGGGUUUGGGUUGUUCGUGUUCGGUUAUCACGUUCUGUUGUUCAUUAUGGUCGCCACCGUUGUUGUGUCAUGUUUGUUUGUUGGGUGCUCUAUGUGAGAGGAUUUUAAUAAAAGUAGUCUGCGUCGAGGGGUGUACGGGGCGCAGAACUACAGUUAAAUAAAGCCUGACUGUGCGUUUCUUGGCCGCCGCUACAAUAUGUUUGACAACAAUAGCCUAUGUUCUGUGUAUUCAUAUAUUCAUUAGAGCCUUGAAGGAGUUUCAGUAGCCCUAAAAUCCUAAUUUAAUUGUAGAGUCAUAUCAUGAUGUCCUUUAAAUAAAUCGGUGAGUGAAGAACCAACAUCGACCAAAAUUCGACCAUAAUCACUAGUUGAAUAAAGGUUGAAAAGGGGUCGACGCACCGUCGUCGGUCGCCUUCCAUUCAACGUUGAAUCGACCUGGAACAGUAUGAGCAAACUGCCGUUGAAUCGACCUAAAUUCGACCAUAAUCACUAGUUGAAUAAAGGUUGAAAAGGGAUCGACGCGCCGUCGUCGUUCGCCUCCCAUUCAACGUUGAAUCGACGAUGGACAGUAUGAGCAAACUGACGUUGAAUCGACGCCCGGUCUCAACGCUGAUUCAACAUGUUUUGGUUGAAAAUGCGGAGGUUGAUUCACCGUUGAUUCAACGCUCUUUUGCUGUCUGGGC